rnacentral:rRNA from 1 species
UACGGAGGGGGCUAGCGUUGUUCGGAAUUACUGGGCGUAAAGCGCACGUAGGCGGCUUUGUAAGUUAGAGGUGAAAGCCUGGAGCUCAACUCCAGAAUUGCCUUUAAGACUGCAUCGCUUGAAUCAUGGAGAGGCGGGUGGAAUUCCGAGUGUAGAGGUGAAAUUCGUAGAUAUUCGGAAGAACACCAGUGGCGAAGGCGGCAUCCUGGACCAAUAUUGACGCUGAGGAGCGAAAGCCAGGGGAGCAAACGGG